AUCGGUUUCCGUACGAUCACUGAAGUUAAGCAGCAUCAAGCCUGGUCAGUACCUAGAUGGGUAACUGCUUCAGAAUACUAGGUGCUGUAAG